UUAAGAUAUUAAGGGCAAUUGGUGGAUGCCUUGGCGUCAGGAGGCGAUGAAGGACGUGGUAGGCUGCGAUAAGCCUCGGGGAGCCGUCAAACAGGCAGUGAUCCGGGGAUUUCCGAAUGGGGGAACCCACCUGGAGUAAUGUCCAGGUAUCCUUAGGCUGAAUCCAUAGGCUUAAGGAGGCGAACCCGGGGAAGUGAAACAUCUCAGUACCCGGAGGAAAAGAAAUCAAAAGAGAUUCCCAGAGUAGCGGCGAGCGAAAUGGGAGAAGCCCAAACCAGGUGCUUUCGAGCAUCUGGGGUUGUAGGGCCUCCAUAAAGCGAUCCAUGAGUAGAUAGCAGAAGUACCUGGGAAGGUACCCCAUAGAGGGUGAAAGGCCCGUAUGCGAAAUCGAAAGUGGCGCAGGAGGUACCUGAGUACCGCGGGACACGUGGAAUCCCGUGGGAAUCUGGGAGGACCAUCUUCCAAGGCUAAAUACUACCUGACGACCGAUAGCGCACUAGUACCGUGAGGGAAAGGUGAAAAGAACCCCUGUUAGGGGAGUGAAAUAGAACCUGAAACCAAUUGCCUACAAGCAGUUCGAGCCGAGCACCUCACUAAACGUGUUAGCAGGAGAUGCAAGAUGUAUUAUGUGUAUGUGAUAAGAUCAGAUAUCUCGACUUUUUGAGUUGAAAAAAAUGUUCAAUAUUUUCACGCGAUUAUAGACCUGACCUGACAGAGUAUCCAGUUUUCGGGAAACGAUCAACGUUGGCAUAAAUCGCCAAAAAUUGUCUAAAUCAACCUUGUUUUGGUCAUUUGAACAUUAGAAAAUUCGAAUUUGUUUCGGAUUUCGAUAUUCGAAUUUCGGAUUUCUUAACAUUCGGAACUCCGAAAGUUGAGUCAGAUAUUAAAGGAGCAUGAGCUAGCAAGUUUAGUGAGGUGCUCGGUGAGAGCGUGCCUUUUGCAUAAUGGGCCAGCGAGUUAAUCUGCAGUGCGAGGUUAAGCUGUAAAGCGGAGCCGUAGCGAAAGCGAGUCUGAAAAGGGCGAAUUAGUACUGCGGAUUAGACCCGAAGCCGAGUGAUCUAUCCAUGGGCAGGGUGAAGCCCCGGUAACACGGGGUGGAGGCCCGAACCAGUGAAGGUUGAAAACUUCUUGGAUGACCUGUGGAUAGGGGUGAAAGGCCAAUCAAACUCGGUGAUAGCUGGUUCUCCCCGAAAUAUAUUGAGGUAUAGCCUCGGGUGUUUACUUGCGGAGGUAGAGCACUGAAAGGGCUAGGGGCCCCACCAGGUUACCAAACCCUAUCAAACUCCGAAUGCCGUAAGUAUAAGCCCGGGAGUCAGACUAUGGGUGAGAAGGUCCAUGGUCGAGAGGGAAACAGCCCGGACCGUCGGCUAAGGUCCCCAAAUCCAUGCUAAGUGGGAAAGGAGGUGGAACCGCCCAGACAGCCAGGAGGUUGGCUUAGAAGCAGCCAUCCUUUAAAGAAAGCGUAAUAGCUCACUGGUCUAGUGGUUCUGCGCCGAAGAUGUAACGGGGCUAAGUAUGGUACCGAAGCCACGGGUCGAUUCUAAGGAAUCGGCGGUAGGGGAGCGUUCUCCUAAGGGAUGAAGGUAUGCCGUGAGGUAUGCUGGACUAAGGAGAAGUGAUAAUGCUGGCAUGAGUAACGAUAAAACGGGUGAGAAACCCGUUCGCCGUAAACCCAAGGUUUCCUGGGUAAAGCUAAUCUGCCCAGGGUUAGUCGGCCCCUAAGGCGAGGCCGAAAGGCGUAGCUGAUGGGAAACAGGUUAAUAUUCCUGUACCUGCUGGGUAGUCGUUUGAGCGAAGGGGGGACGCAGAAGGGUAGGUCAGCCACCUGUUGGAAUAGGUGGUUCAAGCCUGUAGGCUGGGGACUCAGGCAAAUCCGGGUCCCUGUUAAGGCUGAGAGGUGAUGACGAGUCAAUAAAGACGGAAGUGACUGAGCCCAUGCUGCCGAGAAAAGCCUCUAAGCGAGACUACCUGGUGGACCGUACCGCAAACCGACACAGGUGGGUGGGGUGAGUAACCCAAGGCGCUUGAGAGAACUCUGGCUAAGGAACUCGGCAAAAUGACCCCGUAACUUCGGGAGAAGGGGUGCUCUUGCGGGUGAAGGGAUUUAACUUCUGGAGCCUGGGAGAGCCGCAGAGAAAUGGCGGGGGCGACUGUUUACUAAAAACACAGGUCUCUGCUAAGUCGUAAGACGAAGUAUAGGGACUGACGCCUGCCCGGUGCCGGAAGGUUAAGGGGAUCAGUUAGCCUUCGGGCGAAGCUGUGAACCGAAGCCCCGGUAAACGGCGGCCGUAACUAUAACGGUCCUAAGGUAGCGAAAUUCCUUGUCGGGUAAGUUCCGACCUGCACGAAUGGCGUAACGAUCUCCGCGCUGUCUCGGCCAGAGACUCAGUGAAAUUGAAAUCUCGGUGAAGAUGCCGAGUACCCGCAGCAAGACGGAAAGACCCUGUGCACCUUUACUACAGCUUGACAUUGGACUUUGGGCUAUCAUGUGUAGGAUAGGUGGGAGGCUGUGAAGCCGGUACGCCAGUAUCGGUGGAGCCGCCCUUGAAAUACCACCCUUGGUAGUCUAGGGUUCUAACCCAGAGCCGUGAAACCGGUCUGGGGACAGUGUCUGGUGGGUAGUUUGACUGGGGCGGUCGCCUCCCAAAGAGUAACGGAGGCGUGCAAAGGUUCCCUCAGGCUGAUUGGAAACCAGCCGUUGAGUGCAAAGGCAUAAGGGAGCUUGACUGUGAGAGAGACAUCUCGAGCAGGGACGAAAGUCGGCCUUAGUGAUCCGGUGGUUCCGCAUGGAAGGGCCAUCGCUCAUCGGAUAAAAGGUACGCCGGGGAUAACAGGCUGAUCGCGUCCAAGAGUUCACAUCGACGACGCGGUUUGGCACCUCGAUGUCGGCUCAUCACAUCCUGGGGCUGGAGCAGGUCCCAAGGGUACGGCUGUUCGCCGUUUAAAGUGGUACGCGAGCUGGGUUUAAAACGUCGUGAGACAGUUUGGUCCCUAUCUGCUGUGGGCGUAGGAGACUUGAGAGGGCCUGCCCCUAGUACGAGAGGACCGGGGUGGACGAUCCUCUGGUGGACCUGUUGUCGCGCCAGCGGCACAGCAGGGUAGCUAUGAUCGGAAGGGAUAACCGCUGAAGGCAUCUAAGCGGGAAGCCUGCCUCAAGAUAAGGUCUCCCUCUGAGCACCUAAAUCAGGUGCUUGGCUGAAGGACCCUGGAAGACGACCAGGUAGAUAGGCCGGAAGUGUAAGUGCAGUGAUGCAUUUAGCUGACCGGUACUAAUAGUCCGUGAGUCUUAACCCU
rnacentral:rRNA from 1 species